UAGACUUUAACAUUGGCCCUUCUCUUGAUCGAAAGUCCUCCUCUAUGUAACUCCGCCGACCUGAUCGCAGCUUCUCACCGUAGAAGAAACAGAGCCUGUUCAACUUACCCUCAUGAUAACUGGAGACGUUACGGAAUGAAGCUCAAUCGAAGGGUCGACUUUAACGCAAUCAUUAACAGUAGCUUGGAAAACCUAUCAUGAAUUGUCGUUUGCAUUACUUCCUUUCGGCUUCCUUUCGGUGAAUCUUCAACUAUAAAACGCCCACCACUCAUGAAAGCCAUCGUCCGAGGUUCACCGUCUGGAAACCUUCAAACAUCUCUGAUGAAGUUGUCUCCAAUGGAGUUGGGAGAAGAUGAGACGGUUGUGAUGUUGAGACUGAGAAUAGCUGUAAAUGAAUUAGGAUUCAACCAAAUAUGAGAGCAGUUCUUAGAUUCAAGUCAAGUCUGAAGCGGAAACUUCUGUUAACCCAGGUUUUCCAUUUUAUGAAGGCGACUCAAUUCAUGGACAAGAGGAAGUAUACAAAUAGACUCACACCAGAAAGAACGAAGUGAAGCGAUCAAGAAUUUCAGGUGACCAUGGUUGGAAAAAAUAGUUAAUUAUCGUUUUCUCCAUGCUCUUUUUUUCAUGGAAGAAAAGGACUUGGAGAAGGUCAAAUUUGUGUCCUCUUCCACAACAAUCACUUCUACACCAUGAUGAAUGCUUUUACUGAAUCACUUUGGUUUACCCCGAAAGUGAGGUAAUAACUGGACUUUUUCAAUGAGUGUUAUUAUCAUUAAGCCUUACGC